ensembl:lncRNA
GUUAGUGAAUUACAUAUGUACAAAUUGAAACUGUAAAUUGUGAACACUGGAAAGCACCAUUGUGACAUAGAGUAAACAUCUUAGUAAUAUAUUAAAAUGAAUGUAAAUGAGGGUUAAAAUUACAUUACUGUGAAACUCAUCUUCCAACUCUAAGUUAAGCUUUGGAGAUUUGUAUUAGUAGGUAACUGUUCAGAGCUUUGAAAACACCGCACAUUUCUGUACAAGCCAGAAUUAUCAUUUCUUUGUAACUUAUUAUUCAGCUUGGCAAUUGCUUUUGAUUUGGUGGAUUGAUAACAUGAUAUAUUUAAGCAGUUUGAAACUAUUCAUUUCUACACACUAUUUUCUACUAAAUGAAACAUACCAUAAAACUACCUGUGCUGAAAUUUGGGGGAAGUUUAGGUCCUUUAAAAAAAAAAAGUAUUAAUAAUCACUGACUACAUCUGAUAAAAGUGCUUAUUUUGGUUUACUUAGAUAAUGCUGCAGCUGGUGGAAAUGAUAAACGUUUAAAGUGUUAACACUCUGUGAAUGUAUUGGAUUUAAGAGAAUAAACAUUUUACAAAAAUCGCUUGGUAAGGAUUAUAAACUUAAUUAUUGCACUUAGAUGAAACAAUACUUUUUUUUUUUUUACAAUGUGUCACAGAAAUAGGCCUAUAUUACUUGUAUCCUUGUAUGACUUGCUGUUAGUCUACCAACUUCUAAAAACUAAAUGUUCUAAUUGAUACACAAGAAAAGAGUUCUUUUUCAAGAAAGCAAGUGUGUUCUUGCUUUUUCCCAGAAGGUGUUAUUGAAAGUAGAAAUUUAAAGAUGUGACCAUUUUAAAAUUUCAUAUUAAAUAUAAUGUUUUUCAGUUAAUUUGCCUCAUUACAGCUAAUAGUUCCCAUUUUGAUGGGAUGUAUAGGGAAGAAUAAUGUGUGGGUGUAUGUGUGUGUGUGUGUAUAUAUAUAAUAUAUAUAUUCACAAUAUGUAUUUAGCAUUUAUUUUAUUAUAUCAGAUUUAAGGUUUGUAUCUAAAUGAUGCCUGUGAGUUGUGUGAAACUGAUGGCUUUUUUGUCCAGCAUUACUCUGUAACUGAUGAGGGUCGGGCAUUCAUUGUAGUUUAACUAUUUAUUUGGUUCUUUAGAAGGAGGAAUUUAAAUGUCAAGUUUUUCUCUUCAUCCUUAUGACUUAACGUGUCCUUGGGUUGUUGGAGGGUAAAAGUAGAUACAAAUGAUCUUGAGUGUAUGGUUCAGUGAUCUUCUGCCAUACUUCUUAAAUGCAUGAGAACAAGAGUCACACAAGUUCAUCACCUUGCACGUCACAGAGAAGGUAUAUAGAUAGAGAUAUGGCAAAACCUGCCUCCAUUUUCUAUCCAGAUAAUUAAGGUUUUCAUGGUAUCUAGGCCUGUCUUUAAUCUGAGUAAUUUCAUUUUUGCAAAUAUAGACACUGGCAUUCAAAGGAAUGAUCCAUCUAAAUUUUUUUCAACUGGAUUUUGGAAGAAAAGAUCUUUCAGUGAUAUGGUUUUAUUGUUCUUAUCUUAUGUGCUCAAUUUGCAUGUGAUCAGAUGACAUGCAGAUUUAUUUAUUUUUGGUUUCUAAAAUUAAGGUAUCUUGAAUAUUGUUGUACAUUCCUUUUUCUUUUUGAAUACCAGGUUGGCUUUGGAGAAGGUGUAAUGAGGGAGUAUUAGCAUCUGCUGGAGCAGAGACUAGUAUUUAAAAGUUACUGAACACUUUAUAGUUUUAUUAGUUAUGGCCUUAAAUAUUUAGUCUUUUGGCUUAAAUGUCCAUUGGUUUUACUUUGAUACAGUUGAGCAGCACUGGGAUUAAGUCUGUUAUUUAUGUUGGCCAUGUAUAUUAACCAUAUUUUAAAAGUACUGUUUUGUUUUUACAGAAAAGGUAAAAUGCGAAAGAGGAGUUUUUGUAAAUUCUUAACUACAGUGUAUGGUGUUCUUUCCUAAGUUUUCAUAUUUCCUUACAAUUUGGUGGCCAUUAAUUUAACUUUGGGCUUUUUGGUGUAUGCUAAUUUAGUCUGAGAUUUCAAGAAGAUACAUAGACAUUUCAGUCCUCAUUAAUUGAGGACAUUUUAAGAAAUUGAAAGAGAAUUUGUUUUCAAGUUGAGAGUGUAUUCUUUUUUAAAUUCCACCUAAUUAUUAAAUAGUUUCAAUUUUAAUUUUAAAAGCUGUGAAUUGUUGAGUAGACGGUUCCUGAAAGUACAAGUGAGAUAUCAGCAGGCUGUGUAUACAAUGAAAUGGUUUUAUUUUCAGUUUUGAAGCACAAAACACUGAUUAGUGUAAGAAACAAUCCACAUCAUUAUUGGGUUUUGUGUUUUGUUUUUUGCCUGAUUCAGGUGUGAGUGAUAUCUCUUAAGUGUUAGGGUUUGGGAGUCAGAACCAGUUAUCUGGCUUCUCUUGUCCAUUGCUUAGGUUUGUUCUUGUUGUCAAAACUGCACUCCCCCCUCCCCCCCCCACCCCCCCGCAAAUGGUGUGACACAUGCUCAUGCAUAUUAUGUUAUAAUGAGUACAUCGUUGUAUUUGUACUUUUGUUUUCAACAUUGCCAAGGUGCUAUGGGAAAUUAACACAAAAUUAG